AGAUCCGAGCCGGCUGAUCUGCCCUUCGCACUGUCCCUGCAUCCGUGCGUCUGUCCCAGACCGGUCCCAGCCUCUGAGCCUUGGUUGUUCUGGUUGACAGAGGCUCAGCGGGACAUUGUCACCGAUACGCAAUACAGAUCCACCUGGAGAGGCACCGAAGACAGAGGACAGCCUGUGUCCCAGCCACCACAGCUUGGAAAGCAAUGUUCGGAGGAACCCGGACCUUGAUGUUAAGCUUACCCACCGAUUCUCUCUGGACCCACUACCUUUUCUUCAAGAUGAGUUCAAGUUUUAUGGAGUUUGCCUUGAAGGCACGCCACGCCCCCUCCCCAAUCUGAGCAAAAUUAGGAGCCCGGGUGAACCCCGGUCGCCCGCACCCCCACACCAAGC
rnacentral:lncRNA from 1 species